rnacentral:rRNA from 1 species
CCUACGGGUGGCAGCAGUGAGGAAUAUUGGUCAAUGGGCGCGAGCCUGAACCAGCCAAGUAGCGUGAAGGAUGACUGCCCUACGGGUCGUAAACUUCUUUUAUAAAGGAAUAAAGUGAGGCACGUGUGCCUUUUUGUAUGUACUUUAUGAAUAAGGAUCGGCUAACUCCUUGCCAGCAGCCGCGGUAAUACGGAGGAUCCGAGCGUUAUCCGGAUUUAUUGGGUUUAAAGGGAGCGUAGAUGGGUUGUUAAGUCAGUUGUGAAAGUUUGCGGCUCAACCGUAAAAUUACAAUUGAUACUGGCAGUCUUGAGUACAGUUGAGGUAGGCGGAAUUCGUGGUGUAGCGGUGAAAUGCUUAGAUAUCACGAAGAACUCCGAUUGCGAAGGCAGCUUACUAAACUGCCACUGACAUUGAUGCUCGAAAGUGUGGGUAUCAAACAGGAUUAGAUACCCGGGUAGUC